rnacentral:lncRNA from 1 species
UAUUUAUAUUUUAUUUUUUAAAAUAUUUAUUUAUUUAUUCAUAAGAGACACAGAGAGAGAGGCAGAGACACAGGCAGAGGGAGAAGCAGGCUUCCUGCAGGGAGCCCAACGUGAGAUUCAAUCCUGGGACCCCAGGGUCAAGACCUCAGCUGAGGCAGACACUCAACCACUGAGCCACCCAGGCGCUCCACCUCUAACAUUUUAAAUGUCCAAGAUUCUAUCAUUUUCCCCAAACAGAUGGAUCCUGAAUGAUGACACACUAAAGGUAUGAUUACUUAUCAGUUUGAUUUGUUCAGGUUUUUCUGAUCCUCCCUGAGAAUGAAGCCAAGGCUGAGUGUGAGUCAGAGGCUGAGGGCCACAGCCUCUCCUUUAGGUGUUUAACCCCAUGAAAUGGGAUGCUAACUAGGGUGGUGCUUUCACUGAAUGGAAGGGAUGAAAUUUCCUUUUAGAUUUCUGUUUCAGAGAGCAGUCUUCAAGGCAAAGGGCAGAAACCAACUCUGCCUCUAGUAAAAGCACUGAGAAAGUUAUUAGGGGCUCACGGAGUCUACAGAAGGCUGAGGACCAGGCUUGGAAAAAAGGCUGGAAUCCAGGGUGUUCCAGAGGUCAAGGCACCAGGACCACUGCCAACUAGAUCUUACAUUCAGAGAUGGAGGCAAGCCCACAGAGAGGGCCCAGGGCCUGUGCCCAGCCCUUCCUCUACACACCACCCUCUCUCCAAAACAGAUGCUCUUGGCCACCCCUAGGACUUGGGAGCAUAGACACCAGUGGCUUGAUCUGCCCUCACAGGCUUGGGGCCCUUUGAGUAGGGUGCCCAGAGUAUGGUCUAAAAAGGUUGAUACAGGCUCUGGCUGGGCAGAGGUGAAGCCAGAGGGAUCAAAAUAGAGCCUUCCAAAACUCAGGGAGCCCUGGUGCCCAGGUCUAGGGGAGAUACCACUUACAGCAAAGGUCUAUCCCUCUGCAAGACUCAUCUGGCCACCUGGCACCACUGCUGGCAUGUACUUCCACUCUAAUCCAGCCACACCUCUCUCUCAAGAGGCCAGGCCCAGGUGACACCAUCCAACGGUCAAGCCCAAGUCACCUGCCUUCCCCAAGGCUAUUCCAGAUGGUAGGAAGCCCCAUCUGGACCCUGGGGCUUCCUCCCAAGGCCACACACACAGAAGUGGAAAGGAAAUCUACAGAAGAAAAUCUGGGUGCUGCAGGCAGAGAUGAUUGGUCAGAUAGCCCUAAAGCAGCAAGCACUUCUGGCUACCUCUCAAGAUGCUUGACUUUUCAACUCAUGAUAGCCAUGCACUCUGUGCUUGAUGGAAAAUCAUGACCAUUACCAGUCCCAUCCAAAAGAAAACAAGUCACUAGUCAAUAGUACAUUUUUGUUGGUACCCCAAUCCAUAAUAUCAGAGGACAAAAAGUUGCUUAUUUAAUCAUGACUGGCAUCACACUAGUUGACCUUCCUGCUUCUUUCCACAUGUUCUCAAACUCCACCCCAAAAGUCUCCACUUUCUUGGAACUUAGGUAAAUAAGCAAGAGUACUAAGAAAGCUAUCAUGGACUAUCAGUUUAAAAAUUCCUCAGGUUGGGGGGCACCUGGGUGGGUCAGAUGGUUAAGUGUCUGCCUUCAGCUCAGGUAAUGAUCCCAGGGUCCUGGCAUCGAGCCCUGCAUCAGGCUGCCUGCUCAGUGGGGAGUGUGCUUCUCCCCCUGCCUCUCCUCCAUGCUCAUGUUCUCUCUCUCUCUCUCUCUCUCUCUCCUAAAUAAAUAAAGAAAAUCUUAAAUAAAUAAAUAACUCAGAUGGGCAAGAAGGAGUAAUCUAUCGCUAGGACAGGAUGGUGCUAGAACGGCACUCAAAGCAGACACUUCUACUGUGGCACCCUCCUGAUGACAGUACCUGCCUGAGGACACCUGCCUGAGGCCCAAAGCAGGGAAGACAACAGCAGAAAGGCAACUCAGAGCAUCAAAGAAUCCUUUCAGACACCUUAAGUUUCUAGGUCUAUUCCUCUAUUUAUUAAAAGAGGCAUUACAUGUGUAAAAAGAUUAUUUAAUAAAACCUUUGCAUUCACAUGCACAAGGAGGGGAAGAAAACCAUCCUUAUAGAAACACAGAAACCUAUGUGUGCUGACUUGUAGUAAUGGCCAAGGCAUAGUGUUACAUGAAAAAUGCAAGCUGUUGAACAUUGUAAUGGGUUUGGUGCUGAGUGCAUAAUGAACAGGAAUUACAUCCACAGCAGACCCUUGAACAACUUAGGGGUUGGGGCAUUGGAGUCCCUCCCGGUUGAAAAUCCACAUAUAACUUUUGACUCCCCCAAACUGAACUGUUAAUAGUCUACAGUAGACCAGAAGCCUAAUGAUCAUGUAAAUAGUCAAUUAACACAUAUGUUGUAUAUUCUAUGUACUAUACACUGUAUUCUUAGGAUAAAGUAGGCUAAAGAAAAGAGAAUGUUAUUAAGAAAAUCAUAAGGGGGAUGCCUGGGUGGCUCAGCAGUUCGUCUGCCUUUGGCUCAGGGUGUGAUCCCAGGGUCCUGGGAUUGAGUCCCACAUCGGGCUCCCCGCAGGGAGCCUGCUUCUCCCUCUGCCUAUGUCUUUGCCUCUCUCUGUGCCUCUCAUGAAUAAAUAAAUAAAAUAUUUUUUUUAAAAAGAAAGAAAAUCAUAAAGAAGAGAAAAUACAUUUACACUGUUGAAGUGUAUUUAUUGAAAUGAAUAUGUGUGCAAGUGGACCCUCAGAGUUUAAACCCAGGUUGUUCAAGGGUCAUUAUACAUACACAUUAUACUAUACUAUACCUACUUGUAUAUGCUUAAAGUGUCUCGGAUGGGUAUACAAAUAACCUAAUGAAAGUGGUAGCAGGGACUUGUGUGUGUAGGGGGGGUGCUGAGAAUGGAGGGGUGAUUUAAGCAAUUUGUCUGGUUCAGUUCUUCCUGAAAGAAAGUGUUAUGAGAACAAAAGAAACAAAAGCAGGGAUGCACCGGCUUAUGAUAUUACCCCAUAGAUCCACAAAUGAAUUAAACAUGUGCAUGUACUAUUCAAAUAGUUCAAUAACUGAAUAAUAAUUCAAUAAUACAGAGAAUUUGAAUACAAUUCUAUGGAAAAUUGAAAAAGGUAAAAAUAGAGAAAUGGAUUUCAUAGUGAAGCAAAUAGCAAAGGAACUUGCAGUGCUGAGGGGUUAACAAAGAUGAUUUGACCCCUUUCAGAGAACACAAUCCUUUUACUCCAGCCUCCCAGGAGCGAAUCUGUGUGCAAAUGGGAUAUUUUUAUUUAUUAUUAUUAGUUUUUAAAGUCGACUCCAUGCCUAACAUGGAGCCCACUGCAGGGUGUAAACUCACAAUCCUGACACUGACAUCAAGACCUGAGCUGGAAAAAAAACCAAAAACAAAACAAAACAAAAAAAAAAAACAAAAAAAGACCUGAGCUGAGAUCAUUAGUUGGAUGCUUAACUGACUGAGCCACCAGGUGCCCCAAAUGGGACUUUUUAAAAGAAAGAAAUCAUUGAAAAAUCCCAAAUGGCUUGAUUGAUGAAUGGUUGAUUGAGACCUGGAAUUUGCUUCAAGAAUUUUGUUUCCUUUCUUUCUCUUGCUUUCUACAGACUCUUUCUGUAGUAGAAACAUAAGAGCCAGAAUUAUUUUCUAACAAAGAAACAAUUAAACAAGGGCCAAGGAGAUUCCAAGAAGCCAAGAGGCAUGAGAAAGAUAAAGCACACAAAUACUUUAGGCGACUUCUUGAAAAUUUCUGAAACAUGCUCAGAAAUGUAGAAUUGCAGAUUUGUUAGAAAGAAAGGAAAUGUGGGAGAAAGGCAAAGGUGAACAAAGACCCUCAUGAAAGAGAAACCAAAGUCUACAUUCUUCCCAAAAGGGAAAGAGACUAGGAAUUCAAAUAAUUGUUUGAUUUUUUUUUUAAGAUUUUAUUUAUUUACUUGAGAGAAAGAGUGAGAAAGAGCUCAGAGGGAGAGGGAGAAGCAGGUUCCCCACUGAGCAGGAAGCCCAAUGUGAGGCUCAAUCUCAGGACCCUGAGAUCAUGACCCCAGCAGAAGGCAGAUGUUUAACUGAGUAAGCCACCCAGGCUCCCCUGAUUUUCUUUUUAAGCAGGCUUCUCACCAGCAUGUAGCCCAAUGUGGGGCUUGGACUCGUGACCCUGAGAUCAGGACUCGAGCUGAAAUCAAGAAUUGGACACUCAGUCAACUGAGCCACCCAGGUGCACUUCAAAUUGUUCUAUUAUUUAAAUACUCUCCGUAAUUGCAAAAUAAAGAGUUGCAGGGAUGUUGUCGACCUUCCAAAUAUGUUUAAGCAAAUAUAUUUUUAAUUUGGAAAAAGACAAGAGAUAUCAGUUAAUUUGGAAAGAGACAAGAGAUAUCAGUUAUUUGAAAAAACACAGGAGUCCUUCAGCACUGCCUGAAAAAAUGUUUUAAAAGAUUUGCUCUCAUCUGCUAAAAAUGGAAUUUAAGGAAUGAAAGGACCCUUGGGUGCUUUGCUUCAGAAGAAGUCAUAAGUCAAGGAGGUCAAGAAUGCUUCUAGAACACCACAAUGGUCACAGACGAGACCACCCUGACUUGAUCUUGAAGCUUCCCCAGACUCCCUGAUCACCUAACCAUGAUUUCUACCCCUUGUCAUGGUCAACCAGAACCAUGGGAUUUUGAGUUCAGUGUUAGCACGUAGCCCUCUUCUCUCAAGGGAAUAUUAUCUGAUGCAUCCACUCUUCUUCAUUCCACUGGAGGAAAAUGUGGGUAUAGAGAAAAGUGGAAAACACAGAUAAAGCCAGCUAGGAAGUAAUGCACUCAAGAAGCAAGGGGAGGGAGGAGGUAACGUUCUUUGCCGACACUCCUGUGUGUGGGCACUUCCCAAACAUCAUCGUCUGAUUUAAUCCUUACAACCACUCAGGGAGAUAGGUACUUUCCUCUCCCUUCUUUCCAAAUGAGGAACAGGCAUCAGGAGAUUAAGGACUUGCCCCAAGCCACUCAGCUCCAGCAAGUGGCUCUGUGGGGAUAGGGGGAGGGGGUGCCAAGCAGUGAUGAUGGGGGGGAGAGGGUUGCAGCUCAAACUCUCCCACUGUCUCCUAACCUCACUUCUAUUGGGGCCAACCUAAUUUCACACUUGGCCUGAAUUCCCUUGUGCCCAAGUUAAUUUGUAAGAUUGCCCUACUUUUUUUUUUUUAGACAGUGACUCUAUUUGAAGGCUCUUCGUCACAAGGGCACAAACAUCUUUUCUAAGUGAGUACUGUUUCUACUAUUUAUGGAAGACUGGAAUAAGCAGGAGGGCAGUCUCUGACUCACCCUCUGUGGCUCCAUCUAUGAAAACAGACCCCGGAGAUUCCAAAGAAGAGUGAUGGUGAAAGGCAUGGCUCAGGCACUACCCUCCAGUUGGCUGCAAACAUGUGAUCCUGGCUUCUGACUGACCCAGAAAUAAGGCUUCUACAAGUGAAAUCUGUUGAGACCCUCAUCAAAAAAUAUCUCUGCCUCUCCUCUCUCACAAAGUGCCUUUGGAGCCUCAGUAGAUCUCGGCUCAAAUAUUCCAGAACACCUCCUCCCAUUGGCAAAGGAGGACUGAAGCUGUCUAAUUUUAGGGUCUAACAGUUGGCAUGCAAUUAAAACUGUAUUUAUUAUGGGCUUCAGAGGAGAAUAAUUUAUUUAUGGGUAAAUUAGGAUCAUUGCAAUACAAACAUGCUCCCACGGAUCAGGAAUUCGCUAUGCUCAAGCAGGGACUGUGAGAACUCUGCCAUUUUUACAAUAUGGGGCUUACUGUCACAGAGCAGAAGAUGUGACACUUCUAGUCUACUUUCAGUAUCAGUCCUGAAUGCUAAAGCGGGGUUCCAGUCAAGACUAUUUUUUAGCAUUGCUAAGGAUUUGAAGUAAUUCAUCAGAGGAAACUAUAAACAAGAAAAUCUCUUCCUCUUCCUGAAACAAAAAAAAAUUACGUUAGUUUUAAUAGUUCAGAAAAGCAAAUUGAGAGCAUUUUGGGUUUGAUUUGCUUUAAAAAUUUUUGCUGACCAGAAAUAGGUGAGUCUAAUUAUGCUGGCUCUUUUGAUGAUGCUGAUUUGCUAAAAUAGAGAAAAUCAUGCUUUAUUAUUUAAACAAUGAGAAAUCAAAGAAAAAAAUUGAUCACACUAAGCUACACUUCCACUGUCCUCCUGAGAACAAGGUUUCUGCAUUAUUCCUCUCUGUCAAUUCAGUAUUGCCUUCAAUGUCCUGUCUCAGAGUCUUCCAACCUAGAGUAUGUCCUCACCUCCACCACUGCCAUUUUACAAAAAGGUAUAAAGCAUAAAAAUACACACAAGCAUGAGUCCCUUCCAACUCAAAAACUGUAUCACACUGUUCUAUGUGGCGUAGGGCAGUUUGUUUUUAACUUGUUUUUAAGUUCUGAUGUAGAAAAAAGUCUAAACCCUAAAGCUAGGAUGUAGUUGUAUAGCCUUCCACUAUAUCGUCUACUUCCUCAGGUUGAAGACAGAUUGGUAACCCGGGACUAUAUAUAUACCCUUGGGGUUAUGUAUUUCACCUCCUUCUUUUAGAGAGAGAGAGAGCGAGCAGGUGGGGAGGGGCAGUGGGAGAGGGAGAGAGAGAAUGCCAAGCAGGUGCCAUGCCCAGUUUGAUUUCACCACCCAAAGAUCAUGACUUGAACCGAAACCAAGAGUCGGACGCUUAAGUGACUGAGCUACCUAGGGAACACUCUGUGUCUUCUUUUCCUGCCCACUCACUACUACAUGGUAGCCCGGGCAUGAAUACUUACAUAUGAUUUGCAACUAGUCCCUGUAUGAUCAAACCCAUUCAGCAUGAAGAGAAAUGCAGAGCUGAUCAUCACUCCCAACUGCCUGUCCUAAAUGAGUACACAGAAGACACCCUCCCCACUUGGGUCAGUCUUCAUCACAGAGCAUGUUUUGUUUUGUUUUGUUUUGUUUUCAUGGAAACAUUCAUUACUAUAGGAAAUGAUCUUGCUCAUUUGAUAACUUGUUUGUUGCUGGUCUCUUUUUAUUCCAACAUGCUUUUCAUGACAUUAGGAAACCUCUCUUUUUUAAUUCAUUGCUGUGUUCCAAACACCUAAAAGAGAGACUGGUGCGUGAUAGAGAUUCAGCAAACAUCUGCCAAAGGAAUGAAUGCCCUAAUGAUUUUGGAAAGGACGAACAAUGAGUCUGUGAGUCCCUAAAGAUAGUACUCAAGAACUCUAGAAUCCUCUAGAUGAUAGGUCAUUUAGAGUUGGCAAAGUUUUGUAAAAAGACCAGAUAGCAAAUACUUUAGGGUUGGUGGGCCACAUGGUCUCUGCCAUGACUACUCAAGUCUGCCAUGGUAGCGUGAAAGCUCCAUAGACAUUCUGUCAUGAAAGGGCAUGUGUUCCAAUGAAGUGGUAUGAAUAAAAAUGGUCAACGGUGUAAUUCAAAAAGGUAUCUGUACCCCUACGUUUAGUGCAGCAUUAUUUAUAGUAGCCAAGAUGGGAAGCAACCUAAGUGCUCACAGACAGAUCAAUGGAUAAAGAAGAUGUGAUAUAUGUGCACAUAUAGUAUAUAAGAUGUGAUAUAUGUAAACAUACAGUAUGUAGUAUAUAUAUACUAUGCUGCAGUGCAUAUAAAUACAUAUAUAUAUAUACACACCUCAUAUAUACACCAUAUGGUGUGUGUGUAUACAUACACACACCCACUAGAAUAUUACUCAGCCAUAAAAAAGAAUGAAAUCUUGUCAUUUGCGACAUGGAUAGAUCUAGAGGGUAUUGUGCUAAGCAAAAAAUAUUCAGACUGAGAAAGACAUACACCAUAUGAUUUCACUUAUACAUAAAAUCUAAAGGACAAAACCAGUGAAAAACAGACUCCUAAUACAGAGAAUAAACUGGUGGUUUCCAGAGGGAGGUGGGUGAGGGGAUGCACAAGAUAAAUGAAGGGGACGAAGAGGUACACACUUCCAGUCACAAAAUAAAUAAGUCAUAAAUAAAUUAAUUAAUUUUAAUUUUAAAAAUUUGUAUAUGUGUGUGUGUAUAAAUUUUUUAAGUAGGCUCUACACCCAGCAAGGACCCCAACAUGGGGCCCAAACUCACACCCCUGAGAUCAAGACCUCAGCUGAGAUCAAGAAUCAGAAGCUUAAACUAGUACAGCACCCAGCCGCCUACCUUUGUUUUUUGUCUUUUUUUUUUUUUUUAGUAUCUGCCCUUCCUUUUUUUUUUUUUUAUCAUCAGAACAUUUCUUCAAAUAAAUCAUGGUGAUACUAAAUUGAUUUCGUAGUGUUAAUACCCUUUUUUGGAACAACAAAAGCAGGCAUGCCAAGGUAUGCUUCGGACAUUUUUCCUCUCCCAGAAAUCCCAACAGCUGAGAAGUGCCACGAUGCUCUCCCAUUCAUCCAUCGCCUUCCACAGCCAGGGCCUCAUUUACAGUCAAGAGAGCCCUUUCUCUUUGGAAGAAGAGGACUUCAGAAGUUGACAGAAUCACAGAGAUACUGAGAACGAAAGCACCAGGACAAAGCCGUCCCUCCCCACAUGAGCGUCCUGGGAGAACACAGACUCCCCACCUGUCUGCUGCACCUCGCCUGCCUUAGCAGGGACUGAAUGCCAGAAACAACCUUGUGGGCCCCAUAGAACAGAUGCUUCUAGUGCCCUGCAUGUCAAAAGAACUGUCCCCUCCCACUCUGGUGCCAAGGCACCGCCUUACUCCAUCUCAUGCUCCCCUGAGCCUUGCAG